AACCUGCGGAGGGAUCAUUG
rnacentral:rRNA from 4 species